UAGGGCCUUUUACUACGUCAUUUUUUUGGGGCCAUUAACACUGUAUUCACUUUCCCAUUUCAUUUUGCCAGCCCUAACGCUCUCUCUCCUUCCAUCACAGCUCUCUCUCCUUCUAUCACCGGUCUCGCCCGAUCUUGUAAUCCGUUUUGUUUUCCAUCACAGCUCUCUCUCUCUUUCCAUCACUGUUCAUCACAGCUCUCUCCCCUUCCAUCAGUCAGCGUUCCAAAACUCGAAUUUUAAUUAGAAACCAACGCUUUAAAACUGGUAGCUUGGUUUAGAGAGACAAAGUCAUUGCUACUGCACACACAGAGAGAGAAAGAGUCAUCAUUGGGGGUUUUGAAAACCUCGUCUACACUAACAGAUCGGAGCAGAAUUUUUUUAGGAGUGGUUCAGUUUUUUGAAUAUCUUGCAACUGAGUGUCUUCCUUGCUUUGCCUGUUCUCUGUCUUUAAUCUCUCGGCUUUCUUUAAGCAGACCCUUCCUUCGCAUCUUCAAGAGCAUAAGUCAGGUAUGAUCGAGCGAGGGGAGUUGAAAUAGGAAAUAAGGACAUAAAGCUUGAAUACCUGGAAGAAGCAUUCACAACAUCCAACUGGAUAGUUUAGAUUUACUAAGUCAAACCACCAAAUAAUAGGUGGUGAUUAACAUAACCCCUCCUCCCUUUUAUGUAGGACAGAAGGAACAUGGUUGAUGAAUUUUGAGAGCUUCUUUAGUUUAAGAACUUUUAGAGAUAUACACAUUUUGCCAUUGAGUUGGUGUUUUUAACAUUCGAGGCUUAUAUUUAUUUGCUGGAAUCCUUUAUGUUGAAAAUUUUAUAUUGCCUCCUUGCCUAAUAUUUAUCAAGUCUUUUGAUCAAGUACGUAAAAGCCCAGAUCCUUGAUUGCUUGGGACGAUGUAAGUGACUGGCUUAGUAGAUCAUAAAGUCAAGAUUGGGCACUGGACCAUUUCCUCUAUGAAGGAGAGCUUCUUAAGAUGAAACUAGAUAACUAUUCUCGUAAACAAAUGAAUCUGUGUUUGGUCUCCAUGAUUUCCUUGUUAUGUAUUGGGUGUCUCAAUUUUAGUUUUCAUUUACUUAUUUUUUUGCUUAAGUUUUUAUUUUUAUUUUUUGUUCUUGAUGCUCUUGCUUUAUUUUUUAUUUUUUAUUUUAAAUCUGAUUUAUAUAACAUAUAUGCAAUUUCAGGGGCUGGAUUUCAAUUCAAAAGCAAGUAUUUGUUUGGGAAAGUAAAUAUUCAGAUCAAGCUUGUAGAGGGUGACUCUGUAGGGAUUGUCACUACUCUCUAUGUGAGUUUCAAUUUUCAACUAUUAUUUUUCAUGAAUAAUAUUAUAUUUAUACACACAAACAUAUACACGAACUGGGUUUAAUGCAAUUAUAGUUUUGGUACAUUAUGUCAUUCAAUGCAUUUAUUUAAGUGUUCAGUUGUAGAAAAUAGAAAACUUGACAUCGUUUAAAUUCAAGAACUGGGGUAGUCUUAGCUGGCUGUUCCUUUCAGCUCGUGAAUUGGAUUAAAUUCCAUUUAUUUUUCACAUUUAAAGCCUACCCACCUAGUAUUUUGUCCGUGAACCAUUCAUUUCUUCCAAAAAAAAAAAAAAAAGAUGAUGACCAGUUUUGCUUUACUCUUUUAUUUGAUCGGGUCAAAUCUAUUUCUUAUAAAAUUAGAAGAUUAUCACUCUCUAAUUUGCUUUAUGUUGAUUGGUAAUUGACUGUGACAUUGAUGAUGAUGAUGACCAGUUUUGCUUUACUCUUUUUUGAGCUAUUGAUGUUGAUAUUUUGUUUUUAGUUUUAAUGUGUGCAGAUGUCAUCAAACGGCUCAAAUCACAACGAGUUCGAUUUUGGCUCCCUAUUUUGUUUGUGGCUUCAGUAUUUUCUUUCAAGAAUAUUGCAAUAUCUUAAUUAGUUGAUAGAGCAAUUUAUAGUAGUGAUAAAAUAAUUAUGAUGAUUUCAGCAACUUUUUAUUAAAUGGCGUUUUUGAUCUCUCUCUCUCUCCUCUUGUUUGAAUUGGAUUCUUUGCAGGGCUCUGCAAAUCAUCUAAUGCCAAGGACUGACUCUUGUUUACUUCAGGACAACUUCAUUUACAUCCCCAUCUACAUUGACUUUAAUGUGUUUUAAGAACAUAAUGUGUUUUAAGUACUAUUUCUUUAAUUCGUUGCAUGUAUUUUGUUUGUAUUUUGUUCAGAAAUAUUAGAAAAAAGAAAGUUUGAAGUUUGAUGAGUUCUUUUGAAGAAACUUGUGGUUGUGUCCUUUAAUUCGUUGCAUGUAUUUUGUUUGUAUUUUGGUUUCCACAGAACAAGGGUCAUAACCAUAAAAAAGAUCCUUGUGCAGUUUUCAAUGUGUUAGAUUCAAUGCUGAAGGGUAGCUUGGAGCGGUUGAAAACAAUGAAUGAUGGGAUGAAUGGUUAUAUAGCACUUUGUGUUGGAGACCCUUGCCCUCUAAUUUUUAGGUCACCUGUUACAGGACUGGAAGAUAUUAUGGAUAAUCAAGUCAUUUGUGCUAUAUACAGAUUUCCAGAUGCUCAUAAACAUAUAGCUCGACCACCAGCCGGAGUUAUAUUCCCAAAUAAGGUAUUUAGGUGACUAUUUUUUACAUUUUGUCGGACCAUCUUCAGUAUUUUGUUUUUGUCUCAUCUUAUCUCGUCUGUUGUUCCUACUUCCUACAACCUUGUCAUUGAUGUAUACAUAUUUAAAAAUUUUCAACUCGUCUUACUACUGGUAAAUCUGGAUUCUGCAUUUUAUUCAUGCUCAUUUUUUGAACAUUAACCAUCUGAAGUUCCUUUUGAACAUGUUCUCUUUAUAUGGAGGUGUUGGGGACCUACUUCCUGAUAUUUGCUGGUUGUGCUACGGUGGUGGUGAAUUUGGAGAAGGACAAGGUGGUGACACUUCCGGGAAUAACAAUUGUUUGGGGACUGGCUGUGAUGGUCUUGUUUCAAGAAUGUUAUUACAUGGAGUCUCAUUUGACGCAAAUUCUCAUGAUUUGAGACAUUAUAUAUAUAUUUUCAUGGGCCUGUUUUUGAGACAUAGCUGCACUCUAUAUCAAAUUUCAUUAUUGCACCGUAAUUCAUUUUUAUUUUUUAUUUUUAUUUUUAACUUUGAUGUGGAUUGGGUUUAUCUCGUUAGUAAAUUUUGUUCAUGAAUGGACUUGAUGUUUGAUUACAGGUUUAACUUAUGUUAUAUUGGAUGGCAUUUAGUAGCCGUAAUCUAUUUUAACAAAAACAAUAAAGGGAAAAAAAAUAUAUAUAUUUAUAUAAAAUGACCUUUUACCAGCGCUUCUUUCUUUAAGAAGCGCUGGUAUAGGGGAAAACUUAAAAUGACGCUUAAGCAGCGUUUUUUGGUAAAUACUCUUUACCAGCACUUUUCCAGAAACCGCUGGCAUAUAGCAUUUACCAACGCUUUAUGAAAAAGCGCUGGUAAAAGGACUUUACCACUGGAAAAGCACUGGUAAAGGCCUAUUGACACUACAUUUACUAGCGCUUUUGAAUUACCAGCACUUUUUAGGACUUUUACUAGCACUUUUGAGCGCUGGUAAAAGCCAGAACUGUUGUAGUGCCGGGAAGGAGAUCCUCACCGGUGCUCUCAUUUAGAUCCGCGGGAUAAACCCUGAGAGAGGCAUCAUUUAGGAUAUUAUUUUUCGAACGAAUAACGUUCAAAUUAAGGGGGGCCAUUCUAAAAGAAAAAAGGAAUUUUUUUUUUAGUGUGUAAAAAAACCUUUUCCUCCAAAAAUAGAGCAGCAAAAGUAAGGAACUGACCUUGAGAAGGGAGUUUUGCAGAGUGUCCGAUCACAAAGCAAAAGUCAAAUCGCAAUAGGAAAAAUCGCCGGUGAAAACAAGGGAAGUUCGCUAGAAAAUACAGUAGAUGACAGAAGUAAUCGAAGGUAAUGACACUAGACGAAAAAGAAGAGAAAGGUUGAAGAAAGGCAAAAGAUAAGAAGUCAGGUUUUUAAAGCAAAACUGGUUCGACCUACACGAGGCUGUGUUGAAGAUGGUGCAGCAAAUCUCGAAGCAUUAAUCUCUGAGCCAACUAUUCAUUUCCCCACGUCAUCACUUCGAGCCGUCAUGUCAUGAUUAGGCCCUUUUGAUAAUCCAACUCUAAUUAAUUAGGGGGAGAUUAUGGGGGCAGAUGAGGAUAUCCAAAAUUACCUAGGCGGGGUACGAUCCAGAUGGUCACAAGCGGGUUAGAUAAGGACUACCAUUCUAAGUUGAACCUUAAUUAAUCAAGCCCAGGAUCAUUUCGGUUGAGGGAGAAGCCCGGUUUUUGCAAGGAAGUAGCUGAGCCCAAAGUAAAGAGAAGCCCAAAAGAACGGCCCAGCUCAGGAAGUUAGUUAGAAAAUAUCUAGAAAGUCUAUAACAGUCUAUAAAUAGAGGAAACAGGGGUUGAAAAAUUUUGAGGUGUGUAGAAUUACUCUUUUUGAUAUGAGAGGGAAAAUUUCUUACAUUUUCAAUAUUGCUCACACAUAUUCACAUCCCAUAUACAUCUUCAAGUGCAUUAUUCUCAUAAUAUUGUUGCAUACAUUCAAUUAUACAUUGUGAUUAUUGUAUUGACAUCAAGUAUUGAAGAUUGAAGCUUGGGAUUUGAAGAGAAAAUUUGGAGGUUGGGUUUGAAAGAAAAUCUAGAGGAUUGGUUAAGUUGUAUUGAAGAUCUUUGGGUGUUUGUAUUUGAAGACUCUGAAUUGAUCUUUGUGGCCUUAUAUGCUUGAUUUGUUGUUGAGAUUUGGGGGUUUUUGAAGAAUCAAUCAAACUUUCUCAAAGAACUUGUUCGGAGUGGAUGCCAAGUGUUCGACGAAAUUACUAAAUGAGUUUCAAGGCGUCAAACCAAAAUCUUUCGAACAUCAAAUGGCUCCAAAAUUGUCUCGAAAGGCCAAAGGAAAGGGUAUUGCAGUUCCUCCAUGCCCCAAGAGAGCAAGAACUACUAUUUCUAUCCGUGAACCACAAGAAACGGAAUGUGAAUUUGAAGAAGUUAAGAGACAGUUCGGGUCAGAAGCUUAUUGAGUACAUUAAGAAGAAUAGUUGGCUCUCCUUCACUAGGAUGAAACGUACCUACAGUCCGAAUAUGAUUCAGAAGCUAAAACUAGAUAUUGAGACAUGAGUGAAUGAGCUGGUAUCCUUGGGUAGACGUCAGAUCUCUUUCGCAUUCAAGUUUUUCUUUAAAUUCCUGAUGACUUUCUUUUGAACAGCGCAAUGCUCGAACUGGAUCAGAUUCUAAGGGCCAAUGAAAUCAGCUUCGCUAUUCUAGCUGCUUUACCAGCAUUUUUUCUCUCCCUUAUUUUGAUUAUGUUAGUGCGUGAUUGGCUUAAACAGGUAAUGAACCAUGGAGCUCUAAUUAUUUCUAUAGUGUAGUACUCUGAUUGAGCAUUUCAUAAAGUAGAUUAUGUAUUCCGCUCUCGAUUGUAUGUGCACGU